rfam:Candidatus Microthrix parvicella RN1 genomic scaffold, 2605
GCGCCUCUAGCUCAAUUGGUUAGAGCGUCGGACUCUUAAUCCGUAGGUUCCGGGUUCGAGUCCCGGGGGGCGUA